AAUUGUCAUGGCAACAUUUAAUCAAAAUUCAUUCAUUAAACAACAACAACUGUUACAACAACAGUACACAACCAAAAUAUUUGUCAAUCAAUAAAAUGUUGAUGAUGAUUGAACUAAUCAUUGUAUCACAGCUUGGCGAUCCAAAGCUGGUGUACUGAAGGGCGGUCCAUUCAGCAAUAUUUCAGAAUUAGCAGCUGGACUAUCCAUAGUCUGCAUAAAAUGAAGUAAAUUUCGCUCCGGUUGUGCGACUGCUUCAGCAUGUUACCAUGACGGAUAUUUGUAUGAAGACUGGAGCAUCUGAAAAAUAAAUAAAACCAGCAGCAAACAAAGUUCAAUUCUUAAGGGGGAGAGGAUGGGUCUUAAUUUUUUAACGUCACUCUGUUCGGUUUUCAAGGUAAAAGAGACCGUUAAAUUGCACGGACUUUUACUACUCGGCUGUCACAUGCUCAAAUUAGCAUAAUAAGAGUAAGGACGACUCGAUUUGUCGAGUCUCAAUACAUGUAUAUGUUAAUUCAAUAAAUGAAUUUAAUUUUCAUUUAAUUAAAUUUUAUUAUUGAAUAUAUCUUUUGAUCAAAAAUAUCACUUGGUGUAAAUUAACCAAUUAUCAGAAUUGACGAACAGACGCCAUUGAUGCCUUGAUUUGAAUUUCACUACAACAAAUAACAAACACUGAUUUUGUUUGGAUAUUGAAUUGUCAUGGCAACAUUUAAUCAAAAUUCAUUCAUUAAACAACAACAACUGUUACAACAACAGUACACAACCAAA
rnacentral:lncRNA from 1 species